AUAUCUCUCUGUACGGGAAGGAUGAGAAGCUUCGACUAAGGUUCGAUUCGAGCGAAAGCGAGAAAGCGUUGCCGCAGGCAACGACCCGAAAGGCGAAGCGCGCAGCGCUGAGUAAUCCUUCCCCCACCACCA
rnacentral:sRNA from 2 species